rnacentral:rRNA from 1 species
UACGUAGGGCGCAAGCGUUGUCCGGAAUUAUUGGGCGUAAAGAGCUCGUAGGCGGCCAGUUGCGUCCGCUGUGAAAUCCCGGGGCUUAACCCCGGGCGUGCAGUGGAUACGGGCUGGCUGGAGGCAGGCAGGGGAGAACGGAAUUCCUGGUGUAGCGGUGAAAUGCGCAGAUAUCAGGAGGAACACCGGUGGCGAAGGCGGGUCUCUGGGCCGUAACUGACGCUGAGGAGCGAAAGCGUGGGGAGCGAACAGG